rnacentral:rRNA from 1 species
UUCCGGUUGAUCCUGCCGGAGGCUACCGCUAUUGGAGUUCGAUUAAGCCAUGCGAGUCGAGAGUCUUAGGGACUCGGCGCACCGCUCAGUAACACGUGGGUAACCUGCCCUAUGCUGGGGAAUAACCUCGGGAAACUGAGAAUAAUGCCCCAUAGCCCACUACGCCUGGAACGGUGAGUGGGUCAAAGCUCCGGCGGCAUAGGAUGGGCCUGCGCCGUAUCAGGUUGUAGGGGGUGUAAAGUACCCUCUAGCCAUCAACGCGUACGGGUGUUGGGAGACAUUGCCCGGAGAUGGAUUCUGAGACACGAAUCCAGACCCUACGGGGUGCAGCAGGCGCGAAAACUUGGCAAUGCGAGCAAUCGUGACCAGGGAACUCCAAGUGCGUAGGGUAAGACCUACGCUUUUCUUGACUCUUCAAAGGUCUUGGAAUAAGGGGUGGGUAAGGACGGUGCCAGCCGCCGCGGUAAUACCGGCGCCUCAAGUGGUAGUCGCUUUUAUUGGGCCUAAAACGUCCGUAGCCGGUCUGGUGCAUUCGUGGGUAAAUCAACCCGCUCAACGGGUUGAAUUCUGCGAGCACGGCCAGACUUGGGACCGGGAGAGGUGUGGGGUACUCUCAGGGUAGGGGUAAAAUCCUGUCAUCCUGAGAGGACCACCUGUUGCGAAGGCGCCACACUAGAACGGAUCCGACGGUCAGGGACGAAACCUAGGGGCACGAACCGGAUUAGAUACCCGGGUAGUCCUAGGUGUAAACGCUGUGGACUUGAUGUUGGGGGCGCUCCGAGCGCUUUCAGUGUCGAAGCGAAGGUGAUAAGUCCACUGCCUGGGGAGUACGGUCGCAAGGCUGAAACUUAAAGGAAUUGGCGGGGGAGCACUGCAACCUGAGGAUUGUGCGGUUUAAUUGGAUUCAACGCCGGA